ACCACAUAUCAGUGUAACACACAACAUUGGAAGGCAGCGCUGAGCUGGAGUAGAGAAACAACACAUCUAACAGAAUUAUAUAAGUAUUCAAAUAUAUUGUCGCCAGUAUAUUACCGAGUUUUGUUAAGUAGUUAAUCAAUGUAGCUAAUGGUGCUGCGAUAGCUAACGUUAACCCUAAACAUUUCUUAGCUAGCAUAAGCUAGUUAGCUCGGAGCUAGCUAAAGUUAUAUUUAAAAAUUGUUGGAAAGUCUGGCAACUAGGUUUCUUAUAACCAUGUGACUAGCUACAGUAUUGUUAAAUAUUAAUUGUCAAACAAUUUGCUAACUCGACGUUAAAAUAUGUACAUUCAUUCAUCUUCAUUCGAUUUACAAGGCGAGCGAAAAUCUAUGUAUAAACAGUCUGAAAAUAGGUUCUUCAAAUGUGGUGAAAAGACAAGCCCUAUCAGUGUAAUUUUGGUUACUUCGGGUAGCCGAGGGAACAAAUUGCUCUUUAGGUACCCAUUUCAACAGGUUUCAGAUUGCACAUCAUCACUCACGACAAAACAGCGAAGUCCAUAUGCAUUGAACACUACAGGAGAUGUUCUUGAAGACCCAGAUGGAGAUUCAAGAGAACAAACUCCGUUAACUGAUGAACAGUUGGUAGCAGGGUUCUCUGACAUUAUCCUCGCCACUAUCUUGGCCACCAAGUCUGAUAUGUGUGGGAAGAAGUUUGAGCUGAAGAUAGACAAUGUGCGUUUCGUUGGGCACCCCACCCUCCUCCAGCAUCCUCACACCAUUCAGGUGUCCAAGACAGACCCCUCACCUAAGAGGGAGAUGCCCACCAUGAUCCUGUUCAGUGUUGUGUUUGCUCUGAGAGCCAACGCCGACCCGUCAGUCAUCAGCUGCAUGCACAACUUGUCCCGGCGCAUCGCCAUCGCCCUGCAGCACGAGGAGCGCCGCUGCCAGUACCUCACCAGAGAGGCCAAGCUGAUGCUGGCCGUGCAGGACGAGGUCACCAACAUGACCGAGACUGAUGGCAGCCCUCAGUCACCGUUCAGACAAAUCCUUCCUAAAUGCAAGCUUGCCAGGGACUUGAAGGAGGCAUAUGACAGCCUGUGUACAACAGGGGUGGUGAGGCUCCAUAUCAACAACUGGCUGGAGGUGAGCUUCUGUUUACCUCACAAGAUCCACCGGGUAGGGGGCAACCACGUACCCCCAGAGGCUCUGGAGCGUAGCCUCAAGGCCAUAAGGCCGUAUCACGCUCUGCUGUUGCUGGACAGUGAGAAGGCUCUGCUGGCCCAGCUGCCUUUGGACUGCUCUCCUGCUCUGGUGCGCCUCAUUAAGACCUGCUCUGCAGUAAAGAACCUGCAGCAGCUGGCACAGGAUGCAGACCUGAACCUGUUACAGAUCUUCCAGAUUGCUGCUCACCUGGUGUACUGGGGAAAAGCCAUCAUAGUGUACCCUCUGUGUGAGAACAAUGUCUACAUGCUGUCCCCACACGCCAACAUCAGCCUGUACUCUCCAUUGGCUGAGGCGUUUGGCCAGCAGUUCCCAGGUCAUGACCUGCCUUCCAUGCUGGCCAAGUUCUCCCUGCCCCUCUCACUGUCUGAGUUUAGGAACCCACUGGAUGCUUCUGUGCAGGAGGCCCAGCUGAUCCAGAUGGUGGUGUGGAUGCUCCAGCGGCGCCUGCUGAUCCAGCUCCAUACCUAUGUGUGUCUGCUGGUGCCCCCUAGUGAGGAGGAGUCAGGUCUGCUGCGGGACGAGGAGCUCCCUCUGGUGGCCCGGGUGGGGGGCCGCAGCCUCAGCACGCCCAGCGCACUCAGCUUCGGAUCCCCAACCAGCAGUGAUGACAUGACCCUGACCAGUCCCAGUAUGGAUAACUCCAGUGCAGAACUGCUUCCUGGUGGAGACUCUCCACUAAACAGGAGGAUGACGGAGACGUUACUGGCCAGCCUGACAGAGCACGAGCGCCAGGUCAUCCUCAACAUCCCGGCUGCACAGAGCCCUGAAGACCUGCGCAUGUUUGCCAGGCUGCUGCACUACUUCCGAGGACACCAUCACCUGGAGGAGAUCAUGUAUAAUGAAAACAUGAGGCGCUCUCAGCUGAAGACCCUCUUUGACAAAUUCAGAAGUGUUCUGGUGGUCACCAACCAUGAGGAUCCUGUCAUCUCCCUCUUCCAGUCUCCUCUGGAGUAGAGGUCUGUCAUCUCCCUCUUCCACUCUCCUCUGGAGUAGAGGUCUGUCAUCUCCCUCUUCCACUCUCCUCUGGAGUAGAGGUCUGUCAUCUCCCUCUUCCAGUCUCCUCUGGAGUAGAGGUCUGUCAUCUCCCUCUUCCACUCUCCUCUGGAGUAGAGGUCUGUCAUCUCCCUCUUCCACUCUCCUCUGGAGUAGAGAGGUCUGUCAUGAGAUGAAGGACCCUUUCUGAAAUACCAGACGGACAGAAUGAUACAGACUGCUGCUGUACAAAGGCCUUAUUAUGGUGCUUGCUGCUUUCAGCCAACUGGAUAAUAUUGCAAUUUGAGUGGUGACCACGCAGAUAGAAGCGCAGGGGUUUGGUGGCCCAUUCCCCAUGAGAGUCAAUGCCGAUCCGGCUUGCUGAGACCACCUCCCUGAGGCCUGGCUCUUGCGGUCCUAUCUGGAGGUCCCCCUCCAGCCACACCUCUGGCUCUGAGGCUAGGUCUCUCCGGUCGAAGCAGCGUGGUAUGUCCAGGGCCUGGCACAGCUUUGAGGGACCAUUGCAUAGCUCCUUGUCCUUCAGGGGCCGGGCCCCCUCUCUCCGCCUGGCUGUCCGCAGCUGCCUCAUCAGAGGCAGGCCAUGUAGAGGCUCCAGAGCCCGCAGAAGCACGGCAGCACCCUCCCCUAGAGAGAACAAACACAGGGCAUGAUAGAGCGGAGCCAUACUGUCUCCUUCCUUUGCCCUUUCUCCAGUGUGAAUGAAUGGAUAAUAACAUGGUGCAACAUAUAAUAUGUCUUCAAUAAUGAGAAACAGUUGAAAAAAAGAGAGAACUAUGGCCUAAUGAAAGUAACAUGGGGGAGCCUGGGAGAUACAACACUACUUAGUCUCUAAUGAGGUGAUUUUCCUACAGAUGAGGCCAACACACUGAACUUUACUACAUGUGGUUUUAAUGGCAGUUUGGUUUAUUACUGGUGGUUUGUUCCACUGCCUUCAGGGUAAGCCUGGCUGUUGUACUGUUUUGUUGUAUGGUCUUACCUUGACUGGAAACAUUCAUACAGAGGUAGAUGCCGUAGAUGGGGUACACAUAGAUGGUGCUGGGUUUCAUAAACAUCGCUGUGUUCCUCUCAGUGCAUUUUCCCCCAGCAGAGUGAGAGGCCUUGUCCUCUCCUCCCAGGUAGGCCUCAGUCUCCACCACCCUCCCUCUCAGCUCAGUGCCAUCCGCACUCCGACGCACCAAUACCUUGCAGCACAAACAAGGGAUGGCCUAAAUAAAGACUUUCCUUCA